rnacentral:rRNA from 1 species
AUUGAACGCUGGCGGCAGGCCUAACACAUGCAAGUCGAACGAGUGGCGGACGGGUGAGUAAUGUCUGGGAAACUGCCUGAUGGAGGGGGAUAACUACUGGAAACGGUAGCUAAUACCGCAUACCAUCAGAUGUGCCCAGAUGGGAUUAGCUUGUUGGUGGGGUAACGGCUCACCAAGGCGACGAUCCCUAGCUGGUCUGAGAGGAUGACCAGCCACAAUGGAAAUGAGAAAGUGUCCAGACCCCCAAGGGAGGGAGCAGGGGGGAAUAUUGCACAAUGGGCGCAAGACUGAUGCAGCCAGGCCGCGUGUAUGAAGAAGGCCUUCGGGUUGUAAAGGAAUUUCAGGGGGGAGGCGUUACCCGCAGAAGAAGCACCGGCUAACUCCGUGCCAGCAGCCGCGGUAAAC